rnacentral:rRNA from 1 species
GGGAACGUACCCUUCGGUUCGGAAUAACUCAGGGAAACUUGAGCUAAUACCGGAUACGCCCUUUUGGGGAAAGGUUUACUGCCGACGGAUCGGCCCGCGUCUGAUUAGCUUGUUGGUGGGGUAACGGCCUACCAAGGCGACGAUCAGUAGCUGGUCUGAGAGGAUGAUCAGCCACACUGGGACUGAGACACGGCCCAGACUCCUACGGGAGGCAGCAGUGGGGAAUAUUGGACAAUGGGCGCAAGCCUGAUCCAGCCAUGCCGCGUGAGUGAUGAAGGCCUUAGGGUUGUAAAGCUCUUUUGUCCGGGACGAUAAUGACGGUACCGGAAGAAUAAGCCCCGGCUAACUUCGUGCCAGCAGCCGCGGUAAUACGAAGGGGGCUAGCGUUGCUCGGAAUCACUGGGCGUAAAGGGCGCGUAGGCGGCCGAUUAAGUCGGGGGUGAAAGCCUGUGGCUCAACCACAGAAUUGCCUUCGAUACUGGUUGGCUUGAGACCGGAAGAGGACAGCGGAACUGCGAGU